GAUGAAGAACGCAGCGAAAUGCGAUACUUGGUGUGAAUUGCAGAAUCCCGUGAACCAUCGAGUCUUUGAACGCAAGUUGCGCCCGAAGCCACUAGGCCGAGGGCACGCCUGCCUGGGCGUCACACGCCGUUGCCCCCCCAUCUACUCCUUCGGGAUUGCGGGGGGGCGGAUGAUGGCCUCCCGUGCGCCUAGCCGCGCGGUUGGCAUAAAUACCAAGUCCUCGGCGACGCACGCCACGUCAAUCGGUGGUUGCGAAACCUCGGUUGCCCGUCGUGUGCGUUCGUCGCGCAUCGAGGGCUCGAAAAAAUGCUCGGCUCCGGCUGGGCUUUCAACGCGACCCCAUGUCAGGCGGGGUUACCCGCUGAAUUUAAGCAUAUCAAUAAGCGGAGGA
rnacentral:misc_RNA from 1 species